AGAUGGUUACUGAUUAAUAUUUUGGAGAGGCCGCGGCGGCGGGCAGCGGCCAGGUUGUGGAGAGCUGCUGCCCGAGCCCCUUCGACCUGCCAGUACCUUGGCCCUCCCCGGGACCUCCGGACUCCCCAGUAGCUGAAGGACGGACACCUGGCCCCGCACGGGCCCCGGGGGCACCAGCCCAGGCUCUGUCUCCUCUGACUGACUUCUGCCGGCUGGCAGGAAAACCUCCCCCUCGCCCCUGCUCAACUUUGCCUCACGUCCCAUUUGCCAGAAGGGGGUCACGUGACUACACUUACAUGGCUCGCUGGUCAGCUGGUCAGAGCAGGUGAAUUUCAUGACCGUCUCCAUCCAGUCGGGGCUCAGCCCCUGGCCUGAAGAAUUGCGGCGGCUGCCUUCGGACAAUUCAAUCUGCCAAGCUGUCCCUGCGAAGGCCAGCCAGGCUGCGGAGGGAGGGAGCCCUGGGCCUCCGCUUCCCGGGGGCCAGGUUUCCUCAUCUGUAAAAUGGGGCUGAAUAUACCACCUUUCAGAGGUGAUGUCCGGUACCUGGAGUGCAGGACACGAUGCUGAAACAAG